rnacentral:tRNA from 1 species
GCCCCCGUAGCUCAAUUGGAUAGAGUGCCGGACUACGAAUCCGUAGGUUGCACGUUCGAAUCGUGCCGGGGGCGCCA